CUACCGUUGACAGGCCAGCAUGAUGUCAACUGACAUGGCAAAAUCAGGGCUGUACUGGUACAGGAGAAAGUUUCCAACGCUAUCGAACGGUCUCUUAGGGCUUCCUCACAAUUCAAACAGUGGUCACGCGCCCACCUAAUCACCAUCGUUCCUCGUCUUCGAGUUCCAACGUCCAACGGAGAGAAACGAGCGCAGAGACCCAAGAGGGCCAAGGCUAUUCCUAACGAGAAAUAAAAAUUGAAAAAAAAAAGGUUGUGAAGCUGUGAAAUUCGUAAGCUGUUGAUAUACUUAAUAGGAGUCUGUUGAUUGUUAAUAAUUUGAUUCUAAUUGAAAAAAAA
rnacentral:misc_RNA from 1 species